GAAUGGAUGCGUGGAUAAUAUAAAUAUUAAAAAAUAAAUAUAUAUUUUUAAUUUUUUCAUGAUCUAGGGUUCUCCGAGCUCUGCAGGAGAUGGUCAUGAUGAUGUGAAGGCGAAGGUGUUAUCAGACGGUCAUCUCCAGGAUCGAGGAAACGGCUGUAAGUCCGAAUCGUCGAUGAGCACCGCCUCCUACCCGCUAUCUCAUUCUGCUCAGAGACAGCGCCGCCUCAACUCUACCAGCAACCUCCGCCGCACCCGGUUUAACGCCCUCUGCUUCGCCCUGCUCUCCCCAUCAUCAGAGUCCUCCAAACCACAGGGGGGCGCUAAUGAGAACAGCAGCACUGCAUUUCAGUUUUCAGAGCCCAGUGGUUCCCCCUCUGGUCAACAGCAGCCACAGAAACCGGGGGAAACGGCAGCUGGAGAUAACGCAAUAUCGUACAGCGUCCGAAACCACCCUGCUGAAGAUGAUCACGUGUCCGUGCCGGUGUUCGCCAUCUCGGAGGAGGAUGACCGGCAGCCCCUGGUGUCGGCGGAGGACGUGGCACGGCCGUCCAUGGUGAACGGGCAAAGCUACGAAAGUCCAAAAAAGGUGUUUAGCCCCGCCCACUCUGCCACGGAGGAGGAGUCUAAGCUGAAAAAUAGCAAAAUCCAGCUGCCAGUCCACUGCAGCCUGAUGGGGAAGGACAUGUGACCAAGUUGGUGAUCAAAAAAGUGACUUAAAGCACAAAUUGGUGCCUCUUUUGAGGUGAUUAUGGUGAUUUUGGUGAAUUUGGUGGGGCGGCGGGAAAAUCCAUGCACAUUUAUUUGAAGAUUCCACCAAUAGAGUCAAAAAUUUAAAAUUGGAAAAUUAAAUAAUCUCGAAUUGUUUGAAUAUAUCAAUUUUUUUUCAACAUUUAUUACAUAUUUUCAGACAUUUUUCUGCUUGUUGUACAUAAUAAUAAGGAAUAAGGAAUAUAUUCUAGAUGACUUAUUGUAUUUCUUCAGCAGAAAUAAAAAGAAACAAGUAAAAAUUCUCCAAAAUUGGCUUAAAACAAAUAUA
rnacentral:lncRNA from 1 species